GAGUUUGAUCAUGGCUCAGAUUGAACGCUGGCGGCAGGCCUAACACAUGCAAGUCGAACGGUAACAGGAAGCAGCUUGCUGCUUUGCUGACGAGUGGCGGACGGGUGAGUAAUGUCUGGGAAACUGCCUGAUGGAGGGGGAUAACUACUGGAAACGGUGGCUAAUACCGCAUAACGUCGCAAGACCAAAGAGGGGGACCUUCGGGCCUCUUGCCAUCAGAUGUGCCCAGAUGGGAUUAGCUUGUUGGUGAGGUAACGGCUCACCAAGGCGACGAUCCCUAGCUGGUCUGAGAGGAUGACCAGCCACACUGGAACUGAGACACGGUCCAGACUCCUACGGGAGGCAGCAGUGGGGAAUAUUGCACAAUGGGCGCAAGCCUGAUGCAGCCAUGCCGCGUGUAUGAAGAAGGCCUUCGGGUUGUAAAGUACUUUCAGCGGGGAGGAAGGUGUUGUGGUUAAUAACCGCAGCAAUUGACGUUACCCGCAGAAGAAGCACCGGCUAACUCCGUGCCAGCAGCCGCGGUAAUACGGAGGGUGCAAGCGUUAAUCGGAAUUACUGGGCGUAAAGCGCACGCAGGCGGUCUGUCAAGUCGGAUGUGAAAUCCCCGGGCUCAACCUGGGAACUGCAUUCGAAACUGGCAGGCUUGAGUCUUGUAGAGGGGGGUAGAAUUCCAGGUGUAGCGGUGAAAUGCGUAGAGAUCUGGAGGAAUACCGGUGGCGAAGGCGGCCCCCUGGACAAAGACUGACGCUCAGGUGCGAAAGCGUGGGGAGCAAACAGGAUUAGAUACCCUGGUAGUCCACGCCGUAAACGAUGUCUACUUGGAGGUUGUGCCCUUGAGGCGUGGCUUCCGGAGCUAACGCGUUAAGUAGACCGCCUGGGGAGUACGGCCGCAAGGUUAAAACUCAAAUGAAUUGACGGGGGCCCGCACAAGCGGUGGAGCAUGUGGUUUAAUUCGAUGCAACGCGAAGAACCUUACCUGGUCUUGACAUCCACAGAACUUUCCAGAGAUGGAUUGGUGCCUUCGGGAACUGUGAGACAGGUGCUGCAUGGCUGUCGUCAGCUCGUGUUGUGAAAUGUUGGGUUAAGUCCCGCAACGAGCGCAACCCUUAUCCUUUGUUGCCAGCGGUCCGGCCGGGAACUCAAAGGAGACUGCCAGUGAUAAACUGGAGGAAGGUGGGGAUGACGUCAAGUCAUCAUGGCCCUUACGACCAGGGCUACACACGUGCUACAAUGGCGCAUACAAAGAGAAGCGACCUCGCGAGAGCAAGCGGACCUCAUAAAGUGCGUCGUAGUCCGGAUUGGAGUCUGCAACUCGACUCCAUGAAGUCGGAAUCGCUAGUAAUCGUGGAUCAGAAUGCCACGGUGAAUACGUUCCCGGGCCUUGUACACACCGCCCGUCACACCAUGGGAGUGGGUUGCAAAAGAAGUAGGUAGCUUAACCUUCGGGGGGGCGCUUACCACUUUGUGAUUCAUGACUGGGGUGAAGUCGUAACAAGGUAACCGUAGGGGAACCUGCGGUUGGAUCACC
rnacentral:rRNA from 1 species